AGAGAGAGACAUGCGCGCAUAUCAAUAAGCGGAGGAAAAGAAACUAACAAGGAUUCCCCUAGUAACGGCGAGUGAAGCGGGAAGAGCUCAAAUUUGAAAUCUUAAAGGGUUUCCCUUUACGAAUUGUAGUUUAAAGAAGUGUUUUCUGUUGAGGUUUUGGUAAAAGUCCUUUGGAAUAGGACAUCAUAGAGGGUGAGAAUCCCGUAUUUGACCUUUACUUUCAACUUUGUGAUACACUUUCAAAGAGUCGGAUUGUUUGGGAAUGCAGUCCAAAAUGGGUGGUAAAUUUCAUCUAAAGCUAAAUAUUGGCGAGAGACCGAUAGCGAACAAGUACCGUGAGGGAAAGAUGAAAAGAACUUUGAAAAGAGAGUUAAACAGUACGUGAAAUUGUCAAAAGGGAAGCGUUUGACACCAGUGUUGUUUUUCUGAAAAUCAAUUAAAGAACUGUUUAUGCUAAGUUGUUUAGACUUUAUCAGCUAACUGUUUAGUUUUGAGCUUUUCUUUAAUGCACUUUUCAGUUAACAAGUCAACAUCAAUUUCUUUUGCUGUAAAAAAGCUUGAGGGAAGGUGGCUUGAGAUUCGUCUUAAGUGUUUAUAGCCUCUUGCCUAUGCAGUCGGAGAGAUUGAGGUCUGCAGCGUAGAUCCUUCGGGGCUAAAUGCAUUUGUGCUAAGUUAUAGCAUUUUAUAGACAACUUGUUGACUAUGAUUUGUCUUGUAGCUUACUCGCUUAUGUUAUUUUACCUACGCUUAGGAUGUUGAGCGCAUGUCUCUCUCU
rnacentral:rRNA from 1 species